rnacentral:tRNA from 1 species
CAAAAGAUAAGCUAAAAAAGCUAGCGGACCCAUACUCCGCUAAUGAGAGUCACCCUCUCUCUUUUUA